rnacentral:lncRNA from 1 species
GCUACAGUAAACAUUAGUGGACUUUCAUCUAGGAAAACACCCUGCUUAGGUUAAAACUGUGCACUGCUAAAAUUAUUUUCUAUUGCUUUCACAGUCUUUGAAUUUGAUCAUUAACACACUAAACUGGAAUUACGUCCAACACUGCUGGAGAAAGAAGAUUCUCAAAGAUACUGACUUCCCAAAAGUUGUUGGAAAAUAAGGAGCUUGGUAGAAGAGACAAAGUGAGAGAGCAUACACGAAGAUGAAACAGCAGUGCUACAGCAAGAGGUGAACUACCUGACGCGCGACUGGCGGCUGACACUCUGCGCCCUGCAGUCCUCGGAGCUGCUGGAGGUGAACAAGGAGGGCACCAAAGUCUGGCAGCGCGUCCCCGUCCCCGCGUCCCUGCCGAGCAUCCCCCCCAGCA